GGGCGGUUUUGAACCGCCGUUAUCACAAAUGUAUAAAAUCAAAACUUACCAUCCCCUUCUUCAUUUACUGCCGCUCUCUGAUACACGAUACACGAUUGAUGAAGGCUCGUUCUCUGAUCUCCCUCGCUCGUCUCGUCCUCCGCUAGCUACCGCUGCUUUCGACCUCCACCGCCGCUUCCUCAGAUCUCAGAACACCACAGCCAACUGCUCCUUCACGCUGCCGAUCUCGAUGUCACCGUCGACUGCUCCUUCUCGCCGCUGCUACGCAGAUCCUCUCCUCCCACAGCAUUGCCAUCGCCUCCACCUCCUCCAUUGCAUGUAUUAAAUUGUUUGGCCUUGGCUGUUGGAUGCGGCAAUAAUGCACGAGAAAUUUCUAACGUUUUCUGCUGCAUGUUCACGAUCUUUGCUGCAGUGUUGAAUUUUGAGCCAUUGUUUUAUUCUCUGGGGAGUGGUGUGUUUUGGAAUCGCAUAUUAUGUACAAGGAGUUGUGACCAGGGAACGUGGACCAGUUUUUAUGACUUCUUUCAGUCCUCUAAUUAUGAUUAUCACUGCUGUAUUGGGUACCAUUGUCUUGGCUGAGCAAAUUCAUCUUGGAAGGUCAGUUCCAUAUGAAAGUCUAUAAUAGGGUUUCAUUAAUUAUGUUUAGUUCUUGCUGAGACACUAGUCAGUUAAUAAAUAUACUAACUUGUUAAUUUACAACGUAAUUGGAGCUAUUGUAAUUGUUUGUGG